UCGAGGAUCUUUCGCAAUGGGCGCAAGCCUGACGAAGCGACGCUGUGUGAAUGAUGAAGGCCUUCGGGUUGUAAAGUUCUUUCGCCUGGGAACAAGAGAUGUAUGUGAAUAGCAUGCAAAUUUGAGGGUACUAGGUAAAGAAGCACCGGCUAACUCCGUGCCAGCAGCUGCGGUAAUACGGAGGGUGCAAGCAUUAAUCGGAAUUAUUGGGCGUAAAGGGCGCGUAGGCGGAACCAUAAGUUAGGUGUGAAAUACCGAAGCUCAACUUCGGUGCUGCACUUAAGACUGUGGAUCUAGAGGAUUGGCGGAGAAAAUGGAAUUCCACGAGUAGCGGUGAAAUGCGUAGAUAUGUGGAGGAACACCGGUGGCGAAAGCGGUUUUCUAGCUUAUUCCUGACGCUGAGGCGCGAGAGCAAGGGGAUCAAACAGGAUUAGAUACCCCCGUAGUCC
rnacentral:rRNA from 1 species